rnacentral:rRNA from 1 species
CUCUGGGUCCAACCUCCCACCCGUGUUUAUUUUACCUUGUUGCUUCGGCGGGCCCGCCUUAACUGGCCGCCGGGGGGCUUACGCCCCCGGGCCCGCGCCCGCCGAAGACACCCUCGAACUCUGUCUGAAGAUUGAAGUCUGAGUGAAAAUAUAAAUUAUUUAAAACUUUCAACAACGGAUCUCUUGGUUCCGGCAUCGAUGAAGAACGCAGCGAAAUGCGAUACGUAAUGUGAAUUGCAAAUUCAGUGAAUCAUCGAGUCUUUGAACGCACAUUGCGCCCCCUGGUAUUCCGGGGGGCAUGCCUGUCCGAGCGUCAUUGCUGCCCUCAAGCCCGGCUUGUGUGUUGGGCCCCGUCCCCCGAUCUCCGGGGGACGGGCCCGAAAGGCAGCGGCGGCACCGCGUCCGGUCCUCGAGCGUAUGGGGCUUUGUCACCCGCUCUGUAGGCCCGGCCGGCGCUUGCCGAUCAACCCAAAUUUUUAUCCAGGUUGACCUCGGAUCAGGUAGG